AGGAGGAGGAGGAGGAGGAGGAGAAGAAGAAGAAGAAGAAGAAGAAGAAGAAGAAGAAGAAGAAGAAGAAGAAGAAGAAGAAGGGUAGUUCUUAGACCUCUCACAGAUCAAGUGCAGCAGAUGGAGGCAGAUCCACAACCAGUCUAAAUGCAGAGAACCAGUGAUUGUGGUACCCAGUCUCAACGGUACAAUUACAAACAACCCCCACACUUAAGGCUCGGGGAACAUCAUGGAAGAGGGGCUAGAAAGAUUGUAACAGCCAGAGGACCAGGAUGCCCAUUGCAGGUUAUAUCUUCUAGACAUGACAAGGAAAAUGGAUCCAUGAAAUGGCAGCAAUGUGGCUGCCCAAACAAGACCUGAACAAUAACCACACUAGUUGACAUGCUAACAUGGAGGGGGACAUUUUGCAAGGUUGCAAAAUAGAUGAAGCAAUGUCUGCUGAGCAAGAAUCCAUUUUUUCCCCCAGCAACGAGUCUCCUGGUAGUUUAUCUAAUUCCAAUCCCAAGUGGUCAGCCUUAAACACACAUUCACAGGAGCAACACUCAAUGGGCUUGGUGAGUUUGGGUGUAUGUGUAUAUGUAACAAUAAUAAUUAUAGAAGAAGAGGUCAUAAAUUUUAGAGGGAGCAGAGUGGGGAUAUGGGAGGAGUUAGAGAGGGAAAGAAAGGGUGAAAAUCAUGUAAAUACAGUACUCAUGUGAAAUUCAUAAAAAUAUUUCUAAAAAAGACAAGAAAAAAAAAAGACACAGACAUGGGAGAUGGUCCUAAUUGGAUUCAUGUUUCCACUAUUCCUGUCCUAUGUUCCAUGUGCCUGAUUACUUUCUUCCAGUCCAGGUAUGAUCCUAUAAUCUCUCUGGUGUUCCUCUGAGAGCUAUAGAGCACAAUGCACACAUCUAAGGUAGCAAUACAGGUUUUCUAUCACCUCCUUGUUUAUCAACACACCACCAUGCAGUUUCUCCUGAUAUCCUGACAUGUAUGUUGGAACCCCCUUCAGGGUUCUCCAGAUCUUUCUAUAUAUCAGUCUGUCUGUGUGUGUGGCUUAUGGACUUAUAACUUCCCUCUUCAUUCUUCUACUUGGAAAAUUUCUUCCCAUCUUUUGAGGGUCAGUUUACAAAUUCUCUUCACUGGGAAACUUUCCUCUUCUUUCCUGGCAGAGCCAGCCUUUCUGUCCUCUGAGUGUUCACAGCCAUUAUGUCCUAAUCUUGGUGGUAACAUUGACCAUAGUCGUCCAUUUUCUCUAGUGGCUGCAGAGAGCCUAGCGUGGUAGGUGCCAAAGAUGUCUUAGCUGAACAAAGCUAACUGAAUCUGCAUAACUGAAUUUUCUUCCUAUGGUAGGUGAUUAUGGCAGCAUGAAGUAAGGGGUUAUAUUCACUUAGGUGGUCCUACAAAACAUAAUUCGGCUAGUGGUGAUACAAUCUCUCUGAGAACAGAUUGUGAGUUCUACAUUACAGUCUUACUUAAGUCAGUGUCCAUUGGCAGGUUUUAUUAGCCUUUUUUUCAAUGACUUUGGGAAAUGUGUGUUUAAUUAGUUAUUUUGUUGAGCUGUUCUAGGGCUGGGGAGAAUGAAAUGAAUAUGAAAAAUGCUAAUUUUGCUUUCAAAGAGUGUGUGCCUAUGAGAAUGAAUUUUAAACUCAGGUGUUGCUUAAAGAAUUAUUAUUUUCAUAAGUAUAACAAGAUAUUGUAUGUAUAAGUAGAUUCAAAAAGCACAGUCAUAUCCAGGUGUGGUGGUGCAUAUCUUUAAUCCCAGCACUUAGGAGGUAGCGGCAGGUGGAUCUCCAUGAGUUCAAGGCUGGUCUGGUCUACAUAGCAAGUUCCAGGACAGCCAGAACUACAGAAUGAGGCUCUGUCUCAAACCAACAAACACCCAUUGUCAUAGCUGUUAUUUGAUGAGUUUGUCGUAUAUAUAAGUCACUGUUGAAAGCCCUUUCAAUAUUGACUUUUAUUAUUCAGUUCUGGAUGCUGGAUUCUAUUAUUACUAUUACUAUUGUUUUUUGAGACGAAGUCCUAUGUAGCUGGACUCAUAUUGGCAUAUAUCUAAGACUGACCUUGAAUUCUUCAUGAUCCUUCCUCCAGUGCCUCAAUUCUGGGAUUUAGAGGCACGAGCUACCAUACCAGGAUAAUAUUAAAUAGACAAUUUAGUUUAAAGUUUUUUUUUCCACGUAGAGCCUUAUGUGUGCUUGGCAAGUACUCCACCACUGAGCUGAAUCCUGACUGGGUUGUGGUAUUAUUUUGAUUUUAGAUAUGGAAACUGCGGCACAGAAGGUUUGGCACCAGCCAAGAAGGGCAGAAUUGGGGUUUAGACUACUCUCAUAUAUUCAUGCUUAGCGUUUGCAUUAAAGGAAUAUUUUCAAGUUAUAAUGAAAUCAGAUUGGAGUCAAGGUUAAGUUGCCUGUUUUUUUUCUCCCACUGGUACCACACCAUGACCAAGAAGGUGCUUCAGGAUGUGAUAGGAAUUAGGGACAGACGCCAGAUUGGAGAUGUUUAGGUUGGAGAGAUACCGCUCUGGCAUUUAAUUGUUCUUCUGACUAUAAUUGUGGGGAAGUUUUUAUUUAGCUUAUUUAGCAUUCUUUAACAAUGAGUAUGUUCAGCAUGUUUGCUGGUGAUCUCAGGAAUUUCUGUUUUGACAUCAUUAAGUUCAAAUGUCGUUUCCUCAGAGGGUUCUCUCCAAUCAUCCUAACAUCCCUUCUCCUUUCAUUCUACUCUAGUUUUUCCAUAAAGCUUCUCAUGACCUGAUAUUGUGUUACUGAUGUGGUAUUCUGUUUAUCACUGUGUCCUAGUGCCUAGAUUAAUGGUAUGUGGUACAUGGUACAUGGUGGUCACUCGAAUCUUUAUUGAACAAACACAUUUCCCAGAACAGCAAGACAGGCAACAACCCUUAGAACAGCAUGGCAUCUCCACAAAAACCAUGCUUGACACGGACAAUACAAAGCAGAAGAAAAGGAGAACAAAACUUUCCAAAUAUGCUUUUAAAGGGAGAACUAUAUUUCAUUAACUUGGCUUGAAAGUAAUUAAUGGCAUUUUUUUAGGCAGUAAGUAGGCAAGUCUUAGAGAAGCCAAGAUAGUCAUUCUAGGUCCCCUCUCCUCCCUUCCCCUCCUCUGCCCUCCCCUUCCCUCCUUUCCCCUCCCCUCUUUUCCUCUUCUCUCCUUCUCCUCUUCUUUUCCUCUCUCCUCCACCUCUUUUUCUUCUCCCCCUACCCCUUUGUCUUCCGUUUUCCCUGUGUGAGAAGCAGUAACUGUACCUCAUCAUCCAUAGACAUUCUCCUGUUUCUGUCUUUGGGACUCUAUCCUUGUUUCAUGGAGGUUACAUGUCUGGAGAAAGCCAUGAGAAAUGAUGUUCAAAAUAUGCUAGACAUGUAACUCCAGGGUUGACUUUUUAAUGUUAGUUUUUCCAAAACGUAUCUUUAACAACCAUACAUUUCUGGCUUGUGAAUAAAUUAGAAUGCAAAUGUCCAUCCACCAUGGAAAGCCCACAGUUAUCUCCUUGACUGUGCUCACUACAGUGUAUCUUUAUGUCAUUAUCAAACUGGUUGUUAGACGAGUCUCUGGGUAGAAAGCUGCUGAGCCUGGGGAAAAGAUGAAAGUUGAGAGUUAGAGCGAGAUGAAGACAUCAGCAAAGGCAUCACAGCAAACAGCUUUAUAAUGAUCAUUUCUCAGACUAGAAAUUUUUGUUUCUAAUGUCUGGCUUCUGUGGACUGUGGCUGCUGCUGCUUCUGCUGUCUUCCCAGUCUCUGAUGUUUAUGGAAGAAAGCAACCAUCUAGACUCCGGUUUGGUUUCCCUCGUUACCAAAUGGAGCUCCGUCUGUCGGUUGAUGUCAUUUGACUGGCUGCCACACUAUCUGGAGGACAGAGUACAGAGCAGUCCUCUCUCCUCAGCCUUCUGAGUCGCAGGAUUACAGGUGUCAGCCACCGUGUGGGCUUAGUGCUGAGCAGUUUUGACCCAAAGAGGAGCGUAUUUGAGGUUUAUAGUUCUUGUGUUUGUCAGACUUGAUUUUGUGGGGAGAAUAUUCCAACUUCUAAUAAAAUUUAAGCACUUAAUCUG